GCCAGUGUGGUGUACUGGUUUGAAUGUUGGUCUAUAACUCUGGAGACCAGGGUACAAAUCCCUGCCCAGCCA